rnacentral:rRNA from 1 species
UACGUAGGGUGCAAGCGUUGUCCGGAAUUAUUGGGCGUAAAGAGCUCGUAGGCGGUUUGUUGCGUCGGCUGUGAAAUCCCGAGGCCCAACCUCGGGUCUGCAGUCGAUACGAGCAAACUAGAGUGUUGCAGGGGAGACUGGAAUUCCUGGUGUAGCGGUGAAAUGCGCAGAUAUCAGGAGGAACACCGGUGGCGAAGGCGGGUCUCUGGGCCGAUACUGACGCUGAGGAGCGAAAGCGUGGGGAGCAAACAGG